AACGAACGCUGGCGGCAUGCCUAACACAUGCAAGUCGAACGAAGUCUUCGGACUUAGUGGCGCACGGGUGCGUAACGCGUGGGAAUCUGCCCUUGGGUGCGGAAUAACUUCUCGAAAGGGAUGCUAAUACCGCAUAAUGUCGUAAGACCAAAGAUUUAUCGCCCAAGGAUGAGCCCGCGUAAGAUUAGCUAGUUGGUGGGGUAAAAGCCUACCAAGGCGACGAUCUUUAGCUGGUCUGAGAGGAUGAUCAGCCACACUGGGACUGAGACACGGCCCAGACUCCUACGGGAGGCAGCAGUGGGGGAAUAUUGGACAAUGGGCGAAAGCCUGAUCCAGCAAUGCCGCGUGAGUGAUGAAGGCCCUAGGGUUGUAAAGACUCUUUUACCUAGGGAUGAUAAUGACAGUACCUGGAGAAUAAGCUCCGGCUAACUCCGUGCCAGCAGCCGCGGUAAU
rnacentral:rRNA from 1 species